UACGUAGGCAGCGAGCGUUGUUCGGAGUUACUGGGCGUAAAGCGUGCGUAGGCGGUUUUGUAAGUUUGGUGUGAAAUCUCCCGGCUCAACUGGGAGGGUGCGCCGAAAACUGCAAGGCUGGAGUGUGGGAGAGGUAGGCGGAAUUCCUGGUGUAGCGGUGAAAUGCGCAGAUAUCAGGAGGAACACCGGUGGCGAAGGCGGGGUCUCUGGGCAACAACUGACGCUGAGGAGCGAAAGCGUGGGGAGCGAACAGG
rnacentral:rRNA from 1 species